UACAGAGGGUGCAAGCGUUAAUCGGAAUUACUGGGCGUAAAGCGUGCGUAGACGGUUACAUAAGUCAGAUGUGAAAGCCCCGGGCUCAACCUGGGAAUUGCAUUUGAGACUGUGUAGCUAGGGUGCGGAAGAGGGAAGCGGAAUUUCCGGUGUAGCGGUGAAAUGCGUAGAUAUCGGAAGGAACACCAGUGGCGAAAGCGGCUCUCUGGGACGGUACUGACGCUGAGACGCGAAAGCGUGGGGAGCAAACAGG
rnacentral:rRNA from 1 species